rnacentral:ribozyme from 1 species
UAAUAUGAAUUAAUGUAAUUCGAAUGAUAAGAAUAAUAGUUGCUCAUAUAUUAAUAUUACUAUUUUUUACACUCAAUUUUUACUUCUUUGUUUAUUUAUUUAUUUAUUAUU